CAAGGAUUGACCUUGGAGUUCUUACAUCACAGUGAGCCUAUCAAUGGCAGCUCCCAUGGUCGUUGUUGAAGUCACAGUAGGUGAUGAUGUGGGCCUAAGUCACAGCACAGACCCUCUGAUCCUCAGAUACCUAGGUUCCUGUAAAGAGAUGAUGAUGAACCUAACACUAGUCAUUGUCUGCGGAUAUUUCUGUUACCCAGGUAGGUGAUGAUAUUCACCUUCACCAUUUCAAAUCAUCGGAUUUUCACAUACCAGGUAAGUGUGAAUGAUGGACUAAACUUGCUUGCCAUGUGUUUGUUUGUUUGUUUGUUUUUUCAGAUAAUCAGGUAAGAAAUGAUAGAGUCCUUACCAA